rnacentral:misc_RNA from 1 species
GAUGAAGAACGUAGCGAAAUGCGAUAACUAAUGUGAAUUGCAGAAUUCAGUGAAUCAUCGAGUCUUUGAACGCACAUUGCGCCCCCUGGUAUUCCGGGGGGCAUGCCUGUCCGAGCGUCAUUGCUGCCCUCAAGCACGGCUUGUGUGUUGGGCCUCCGCCCCCCGGCUCCCGGGGGGCGGGCCCGAAAGGCAGCGGCGGCACCGCGUCCGGUCCUCGAGCGUAUGGGGCUUCGUCACCCGCUCCGUAGGCCCGGCCGGCGCCCGCCGGCGACCCCCCUCAAUCUUUCCAGGUUGACCUCGGAUCAGGUAGGGAUACCCGCUGAACUUAAGCAUAUCAAUAAGCGGAGGA